CCUACGGGAGGCUGCAGUGGGGAAUAUUGGACAAUGGGCGAAAGCCUGAUCCAGCCAUGCCGCGUGUGUGAAGAAGGCCUUCGGGUUGUAAAGCACUUUCAGUGGGGAAGAAAGCCUUGGGGCUAAUACCCUCGAGGAAGGACAUCACCCACAGAAGAAGCACCGGCUAACUCCGUGCCAGCAGCCGCGGUAAUAUGGAGGGUGCGAGCGUUAAUCGGAAUUACUGGGCGUAAAGCGCGCGUAGGCGGUCUGAUAAGCCGGUUGUGAAAGCCCCGGGCUCAACCUGGGAACGGCAUCCGGAACUGUCAGGCUAGAGUGCAGGAGAGGAAGGUAGAAUUCCCGGUGUAGCGGUGAAAUGCGUAGAGAUCGGGAGGAAUACCAGUGGCGAAGGCGGCCUUCUGGACUGACACUGACGCUGAGGUGCGAAAGCGUGGGUAGCAAACAGGAUUAGAUACCCGAGUAGUC
rnacentral:rRNA from 1 species